rnacentral:rRNA from 1 species
AGUGAACGCUGGCGGUAGGCCUAACACAUGCAAGUCGAACGGCAGCACAGUAAGAGCUUGCUCUUACGGGUGGCGAGUGGCGGACGGGUGAGGAAUACAUCGGAAUCUAUUUUUUCGUGGGGGAUAACGUAGGGAAACUUACGCUAAUACCGCAUACGACCUACGGGUGAAAGCAGGGGAUCUUCGGACCUUGCGCGAUUGAAUGAGCCGAUGUCGGAUUAGCUAGUUGGCGGGGUAAAGGCCCACCAAGGCGACGAUCCGUAGCUUGUCUGAGAGGAUGAUCAGCCACACUGGAACUGAGACACGGUCCAGACUCCUACGGGAGGCAGCAGUGGGGAAUAUUGGACAAUGGGCGCAAGCCUGAUCCAGCCAUACCGCGUGGGUGAAGAAGGCCUUCGGGUUGUAAAGCCCUUUUGUUGGGAAAGAAAAGCAGCAGGUUAAUACCCCGCUGUUCUGACGGUACCCAAAGAAUAAGCACCGGCUAACUUCGUG